GUGCUCGCUUCGGCAGCACAUAUACUGAAAGUGGGACAAUACAGAGAUUAGCAUGGCCCCUGUGCAGGGGUGACACCCAAAUUCAUGAAGUGUUCCAUAUUUUA